AGCUCACCACCUGCUGUCACUCCGGUUAGCUCUCCACCUGCUCCAGUUCCAGUGAGCUCUCCACCAGCUAAAUCUCCUGCCAAAUCUCCUCCAGCACCUGCGCCAGUGACUCCACCAACAAGUUCUCCUCCGGAAAAUGCUCCUCCUGCUCCAGUGGUUUCACCAACGGCAGAGGUUCCUGCGCCGACUACCAGCAAGAAGAAGCCUAAGAAGCACACUGCUCCAGCUCCUGGUCCUGAGUUGUCGAGCCCACCUGCUCCGCCAACUGAGGCACCUGGACCGAGCGCUGAAGCCAACUCACCUGGACCCUCUGUGGCUGACGAGAGCGGAGCAGAGACGAUAAAGAGCCUGCAGAAGAUGGUUGGAGGGCUGGCAGUGGGAUGGGCAAUCUGCACUUUGGUCUUCUAGAGAGAGAAGUUUAUCAUGUGACACUGCAGCUGCUGCUGCUUCCCCUGUUAUAUUAUUUUAAUUGUUUGCCCCCAUUUUCUCUUAUUUAUUACGGGACACACAUUUGAUAUAUUUUUUAUUUUAUUUUACCAUUGUUUGGUUAAAUUAUUAUUGUCAUCGUAGUGGCCACUGGUUUUGGUGAUUUCUGCCUGGGGAUCAGCACAUUUGCUUUUGUAUUCAGUAUUCUUUGAGAGAGAUUUGUGGGGGAAACUCUGUAUUUUUGUAGUUUUUCUAUUCACCGUCAUUUUGGAUCCUUCCAAUAGGACCCUUCUCUUUCUCUUGUGUUUUGCUUUUUUGCUUUGAUCUUUCUUUUCUUGACAACCUCUUAUCUUUACGCGUUUCGCUUUCUUCUUCCUCAGGUUGUCUUUAUUCCUUGAUUGUUUCACAAUUAUGAAUAAGUGUACUAUUUUUCCCACCACUCAUAAAAGAAAAGCAACCACAAA
rnacentral:misc_RNA from 1 species